GUGCCUGCUUUGGCAGCACAUAUACAAAAACUGGAACAAUACAGAGAUUAGCACCACCCCUGAGCAAGGAUGACACACAAACUUGCAAAGCGUUUCAUAUUUUU
ensembl:snRNA U6 U6 spliceosomal RNA